GAUGAACGCUAGCGGCAGGCCUAAUACAUGCAAGUCGGACGGGAUUCAGGAGCUUGCUUCUGAUGAGAGUGGCGCACGGGUGCGUAACACGUAUGUAACCUACCUUUAUCAGGGGGAUAGCCUCUCGAAAGAGAGAUUAAGCCCGCAUAAAAUCACAGCACAGCAUUGUGUAAUGAUCAAAUAUUUAUAGGAUAAAGAUGGGCAUGCGGAACAUUAGCUAGAUGGCGGGGUAACGGCCCACCAUGGCGACGAUGUUUAGGGGGUCUGAGAGGAUGGCCCCCCACACUGGUACUGAGACACGGACCAGAAUCCUACGGGAGGCAGCAGUAAGGAAUAUUGGUCAAUGGGCGGAAGCCUGAACCAGCCAUGCCGCGUGCAGGAAGACGGCCCUACGGGUUGUAAACUGCUUUUAUACGGGAAUAAACCCAGAUACGUGUAUCUGGCUGAAUGUACUGUAAGAAUAAGGAUCGGCUAACUCCGUG
rnacentral:rRNA from 1 species